rnacentral:rRNA from 1 species
AGCUCGAAGGGCGUAUCUUAAAAUUGUUGCGGUUAAAAAGCUCGUAGUUGGAUUUCUCCGCUUUCAGACCCGCGGUCCCUCGCGGCGGGCUUUGCCCGUCGGGAGUGGAAAGCGGCUGGGCGUUUACACCGCCGGGAUGCUGGGGUCAAACCCAGUGUUUCGGCACCUACUUUGAGAAAAUUAGAGUGUUUCAAGCAGGCAAUUAAUCAAUGCCGUGAAUACUACAGCAUGGAAUAGAACCAACGGGCUUUCGUCCUGCGCUGGUGGGUUCCUGGACCAAGUCAUGAUUGAUAGGGACGGUUGGGGGUGCUCGUAUUCCGCGGCCAGAGGUGAAAUUCUUGGAUUCGCGGAAGACGAACUAGUGCGAAAGCAUUCACCAAGUACGUUUUCU